rnacentral:RNase_P_RNA from 1 species
UAGAAAUACGCGAUGAUCGCCUCAUCUUUUUUGGGUGGGGAGGAAAGUCCGGACACGCCCAUCAUUUUUUUGGUGGAGUACGGUAGCGGGUAACGCCCGUCAUACGUGAGUAUCGAGGUGCGAGCAGUGACGUCUGACCCGAAAGGGAAAGAACUCCCUAGAGGAGUAAUCACAUGGCAACAUGUGGGUGAAACGGCUAAAUCCUUACCAGCGUGCAAGGCCGUAUUCUCGUGCAAUACAUAUGUGUGUGCGAGUCUGAGCCGCAUGAGGUGAAUGGCAACAUUCAUCCUAGGUAUAUGAUCAUCACCAACACCACUUGUGGUGUUGGUACAAAAUCCGGCUUACGUGUCACCAAAGG